rnacentral:misc_RNA from 1 species
AAGAAUAUGAAAGACGAAGUAUUUAACCUUUAUUUCCAUCAAUAAACUGGUAUGUGACUAGGCCAACAGUCGAUGAGAAAUAAGGCUGUCAAACAUAGGGAGUUGAGAACAGCCUACUAUAUAUUCAAACAAAUUUAAGCAUUGUACUUAGUCAAAACUGAACGCCUGUAUAGAUGAAUAUAUUAGGACGUAAGAAGACAUACCAGGCCUUACUUGAUACUUACAAGCUGCGACUAUAAGACAAACAGGUUACUUAUGAGAAUAACAAAUUACUAAACCACACCUCUCCUAUACCUGUGCAUGAGAAAUCUCUUGCAUUGGUUCCACUGCUCUCAGCGGCAUACUGUCAGUUUGGGCUUUGUAUCCCAAUGACCCCAUCCCAAGUCCUCUGUCCAUGCAGACUACCUCCCCUGAGCCAUAGCCACCAAGUUCCUUCUCUUGCUUUUCUCUCUCACUAAUCUCCUCCUCACCCCAUGAGAAUAAGCAAGGGAAAGCUACAGGGGCUGAUUCAUAUGCUGCUCCAACAGCAACACUCUCAUAGUAAAAGAGCUGGAGAAACAAAAGACAGCCCCCAACUGCACGCUGCUUUCCUUGACGAAAACGAGAUAUCUCCCGCACUAGCCGGUCAAGCAAGAACUUCCCCCAAUUAUAUUGAUGGAGUACAUCCAUAUUUGUCAAAAAAUGGAGGAAAGAAGGGCUUACGUCAAGCCUUGCAGUUGGGCACAAAAGAGUGCCCAUUACAUAAAGUACGAAUGACCUUUUGAAAUCCUCUCCAGCUUCUGGAGCUGCAAGUCGUUCCUCCAGAAGACGGACAGAAAUCCCACGAUUGGUGGCAUUGUAUCGUUUACGUAACUGUAAAAUCAAUUCAUCAGACCCUGAGUUAACCACAUCUUUUCCACUGGCAGGCAAACCCAUUACAAGUUCCACAUCCCUUGGAGUUAAGGGUAUCCUCUCACCACAGAUUUCCAAGCUACGUCUUACAGUAUUGAACCUCUCCAAUAUCCAAAGACACAAGCUUCUUCGAAGAGUCCGACAUCUGAGGCCAAGGAUGCUACCAAAACCCAUGCUCUUUACAGCUUCCUUCUGGUCAGGUGUGAGCCUUUGUAAGACAUUUAGUAGACGGCCGGGGGAACACCUAGUGACUAGUUUGGUCUGUCUUCUUGGCUUAGGAGCACGGGCAGGUGCUGAGCUCAGGUACUUAUCCCACACUUCACGAGCACGAGUAGUGUACUUUGCCUUCUCCUCAGGACCCAUCAGCUUCCAUGCAUCUGAUGCUGCCUUUGUGGCAACUUUCAGGCCUGAAGAUUCAGGAUGUGUAGCACUAUACUCUUUAAUAAAGUCACGGCUGAAGUGCACCCAAGAGCAAGCAGGACGAGGAGUGGCUACUUGUUUUUUCUUCUUUUUU